GCACAGGUGCUGCAUGGCUGUCGUCAGCUCGUGUCGUGAGAUGUCGGGUUAAGUCCCAUAACGAGCGAAACCCUUACCUUCAGUUGCUACCCGCAAGGGGCACUCUGGAGGGACUGCCGGUGUCAAACCGGAGGAAGGUGGGGAUGACGUCAAGUCAUCAUGGCCUUUAUGCCCAGGGCUGCACACGUGCUACAAUGGCGUGUACAAAGCGCAGCAACCACGCGAGUGGAAGCUAAUCGCAAAAAACACGCCCCAGUUCAGAUCGGAGGCUGCAACUCGCCUCCGUGAAGACGGAAUCGCUAGUAAUCGCGGGUCAGCAACACCGCGGUGAGUGUGUUCCUGAGCCUUGUACACACCGCCCGUCAAGCCACGAAAGGGAGGGGCGCCCGAAGUCACCUUCACCGGUGCCGAAGGCGANACUCCUGAUUGGGACUAAGUCGUAACAAGGUAACCAAGGGCGA
rnacentral:rRNA from 1 species